rnacentral:tRNA from 1 species
UAGGAAGUGGUGUCAAGGGAGCACUGUAAGUUUUGAACUUUCAAGGAGGGUUCGAGUCCCUUCUUCCUAU